rnacentral:rRNA from 1 species
AGAGUUUGAUCCUGGCUCAGGAUGAACGCUGGCGGCGUGCCUAACACAUGCAAGUCGAGCGAUUCUCUUCGGAGAAGAGCGGCGGACGGGUGAGUAACGCGUGGGUAACCUGCCCUGUACACACGGAUAACAUACCGAAAGGUAUGCUAAUACGGGAUAAUGUACUUUUGUCGCAUGGCAGAAGUAUCAAAGCUCCGGCGGUACAGGAUGGACCCGCGUCUGAUUAGCUAGUUGGAGAGGUAAUGGCUCACCAAGGCAACGAUCAGUAGCCGACCUGAGAGGGUGAUCGGCCACAUUGGAACUGAGACACGGUCCAAACUCCUACGGGAGGCAGCAGUGGGGGAUAUUGCACAAUGGGGGAAACCCUGAUGCAGCGACGCCGCGUGAGUGAAGAAGUAUUUCGGGUCGUAAAGCUCUGUCCUCAAGGAAGAUAAUACGGUACUUGAGGAGGAAGCCCCGGCUAACUACGUGCCAGCAGCCGCGGUAAUACGUAGGGGGCUAGCGUUAUCCGGAAUUACUGGGCGUAAAGGGUGCGUAGGUGGUUUUUUAAGUCAGAAGUGAAAGGCUACGGCUCAACCGUAGUAAGCUUUUGAAACUGAGAAACUUGAGUGCAGGAGAGGAGAGUAGAAUUCCUAGUGUAGCGGUGAAAUGCGUAGAUAUUAGGAGGAAUACCAGUUGCGAAGGCGGCUCUCUGGACUGUAACUGACACUGAGGCACGAAAGCGUGGGGAGCAAACAGGAUUAGAUACCCUGGUAGUCCACGCCGUAAACGAUGAGUACUAGGUGUCGGGGGUUACCCCCCUCGGUGCCGCAGCUAACGCAUUAAGUACUCCGCCUGGGAAGUACGCUCGCAAGAGUGAAACUCAAAUGAAUUGACGG